GUGACUGCGUACCUUUUGUAUAAUGGGUCAGCGACUUAUAUUCUGUAGCAAGGUUAACCGAAUAGGGGAGCCGAAGGGAAACCGAGUCUUAACCGGGCGUUAAGUUGCAGGGUAUAGACCCGAAACCCGGUGAUCUAGCCAUGGGCAGGUUGAAGGUUGGGUAACACUAACUGGAGGACCGAACCGACUAAUGUUGAAAAAUUAGCGGAUGACUUGUGGCUGGGGGUGAAAGGCCAAUCAAACCGGGAGAUAGCUGGUUCUCCCCGAAAGCUAUUUAGGUAGCGCCUCGUGAAUUCAUCUCCGGGGGUAGAGCACUGUUUCGGCAAGGGGGUCAUCCCGACUUACCAACCCGAUGCAAACUGCGAAUACCGGAGAAUGUUAUCACGGGAGACACACGGCGGGUGCUAACGUCCGUCGUGAAGAGGGAAACAACCCAGACCGCCAGCUAAGGUCCCAAAGUCAUGGUUAAGUGGGAAACGAUGUGGGAAGGCCCAGACAGCCAGGAUGUUGGCUUAGAAGCAGCCAUCAUUUAAAGAAAGCGUAAUAGCUCACUGGUCGAGUCGGCCUGCGCGGAAGAUGUAACGGGGCUAAACCAUGCACCGAAGCUGCGGCAGCGACACUGUGUGUUGUUGGGUAGGGGAGCGUUCUGUAAGCCUGUGAAGGUGUACUGUGAGGUAUGCUGGAGGUAUCAGAAGUGCGAAUGCUGACAUAAGUAACGAUAAAGCGGGUGAAAAGCCCGCUCGCCGGAAGACCAAGGGUUCCUGUCCAACGUUAAUCGGGGCAGGGUGAGUCGACCCCUAAGGCGAGGCCGAAAGGCGUAGUCGAUGGGAAACAGGUUAAUAUUCCUGUACUUGGUGUUACUGCGAAGGGGGGACGGAGAAGGCUAUGUUGGCCGGGCGACGGUUGUCCCGGUUUAAGCGUGUAGGCUGGUUUUCCAGGCAAAUCCGGAAAAUCAAGGCUGAGGCGUGAUGACGAGGCACUACGGUGCUGAAGCAACAAAUGCCCUGCUUCCAGGAAAAGCCUCUAAGCAUCAGGUAACAUCAAAUCGUACCCCAAACCGACACAGGUGGUCAGGUAGAGAAUACCAAGGCGCUUGAGAGAACUCGGGUGAAGGAACUAGGCAAAAUGGUGCCGUAACUUCGGGAGAAGGCACGCUGAUAUGUAGGUGAAGUCCCUCGCGGAUGGAGCUGAAAUCAGUCGAAGAUACCAGCUGGCUGCAACUGUUUAUUAAAAACACAGCACUGUGCAAACACGAAAGUGGACGUAUACGGUGUGACGCCUGCCCGGUGCCGGAAGGUUAAUUGAUGGGGUCAGCGCAAGCGAAGCUCUUGAUCGAAGCCCCGGUAAACGGCGGCCGUAACUAUAACGGUCCUAAGGUAGCGAAAUUCCUUGUCGGGUAAGUUCCGACCUGCACGAAUGGCGUAAUGAUGGCCAGGCUGUCUCCACCCGAGACUCAGUGAAAUUGAACUCGCUGUGAAGAUGCAGUGUACCCGCGGCAAGACGGAAAGACCCCGUGAACCUUUACUAUAGCUUGACACUGAACAUUGAGCCUUGAUGUGUAGGAUAGGUGGGAGGCUUUGAAGUGUGGACGCCAGUCUGCAUGGAGCCGACCUUGAAAUACCACCCUUUAAUGUUUGAUGUUCUAACGUGGACCCGUGAUCCGGGUUGCGGACAGUGUCUGGUGGGUAGUUUGACUGGGGCGGUCUCCUCCUAAAGAGUAACGGAGGAGCACGAAGGUUGGCUAAUCCUGGUCGGACAUCAGGAGGUUAGUGCAAUGGCAUAAGCCAGCUUGACUGCGAGCGUGACGGCGCGAGCAGGUGCGAAAGCAGGUCAUAGUGAUCCGGUGGUUCUGAAUGGAAGGGCCAUCGCUCAACGGAUAAAAGGUACUCCGGGGAUAACAGGCUGAUACCGCCCAAGAGUUCAUAUCGACGGCGGUGUUUGGCACCUCGAUGUCGGCUCAUCACAUCCUGGGGCUGAAGUAGGUCCCAAGGGUAUGGCUGUUCGCCAUUUAAAGUGGUACGCGAGCUGGGUUUAGAACGUCGUGAGACAGUUCGGUCCCUAUCUGCCGUGGGCGCUGGAGAACUGAGGGGGGCUGCUCCUAGUACGAGAGGACCGGAGUGGACGCAUCACUGGUGUUCGGGUUGUCAUGCCAAUGGCACUGCCCGGUAGCUAAAUGCGGAAGAGAUAAGUGCUGAAAGCAUCUAAGCACGAAACUUGCCCCGAGAUGAGUUCUCCCUGACCCUUUAAGGGUCCUGAAGGAACGUUGAAGACGACGACGUUGAUAGGCCGGGUGUGUAAGCGCAGCGAUGCGUUGAGCUAACCGGUACUAAUGAACCGUGAGGCUUAACCUUACAACGCCGAAGGUGUUU
rnacentral:rRNA from 1 species